rnacentral:tRNA from 1 species
AGGAACUUAAGUUAUACUUAAACUAGGGGCCUUCAAAGCCCCCAAAAAAACCACUUUAGUUCCUG